rnacentral:rRNA from 1 species
GAUAAACGCUGGCGGCGUGCCUAAUGCAUGCAAGUCGAACGGAUACUGGCUUCGGUUAGUAUUAGUGGCAAACGGGUGAGUAACACGUGGGGAUCUGCCCAGUAGUGGGGAACAACUCCUCGAAAGAGGAGCUAAUACCGCAUACGGUCGAAAGACUAAAGUCUAGCAAUAGACGCUAUUGGAGGAACCUGCGGCUGAUUAGCUAGUUGGUGGGGUAAAGGCCUACCAAGGCGAUGAUCAGUAGCUGGUCUGAGAGGAUGGACAGCCACACUGGGACUGAGAUACGGCCCAGACUCCUACGGGAGGCAGCAGCAAGGAAUUUUCGUCAAUGGGGGCAACCCUGAACGAGCAACGCCGCGUGGGCGAAGAAGUCCUUCGGGAUGUAAAGCCCUUUUCCCUGUGAAGAAAGAAAGACGGUAACAGGGGAAUAAGCAUCGGCUAACUACGUGCCAGCCGCCGCCGUAAGAC